rnacentral:rRNA from 1 species
UACGUAGGUGGCAAGCGUUAUCCGGAAUUAUUGGGCGUAAAGAGCGCGCAGGUGGUUUAUUAAGUCUGGUGUAAAAGGCAGUGGCUCAACCAUUGUAUGCAUUGGAAACUGGUAGACUUGAGUGCAGGAGAGGAGAGUGGAAUUCCAUGUGUAGCGGUGAAAUGCGUAGAUAUAUGGAGGAACACCGGUGGCGAAAGCGGCUCUCUGGCCUGUAACUGACACUGAGGCUCGAAAGCGUGGGGAGCAAAUAGG